rnacentral:piRNA from 1 species
UGGCCUUUGGUGCUUGAGUAAGAUUCCACC